UUUUAUGAAGGCAUGCCUAAUACAUACUGAUGCAGCCUGAGUGUUGAACUUUCCUUCGCUCCUGGAACAGGUCCUGGCACCAAGUAUUUGCUCAGCACUCUCAUGGCCUUCAUAGCAUAGAAUGACUUCUGGCCUUGUACCUCCUCGUCACAAUGCCAAAUGAGUUGGCUCUGUGUGCUACAAGAGUUCUGGAGAACUAUCUAUGGAAACUACAAUGUAAUGACUAGCAAUAACUACUGUACGUAUAAGGAAAUGACUGCAAACCACACAGAUUCAUCCUGUUAAAUUCAAAGAUCAUUUAUUCAACUUUCCCAUAACCAAAUCACAAAAACACCUGUGGCUACUCUCAAGUCAACUGAUGCAAAGAGAAUUGUAAUGGAAGAGGGGCCAAGUGAAGAGAGAGAACAGUGGAAUCAUUUGUGGCUAAAAUGCCUUACUUUUGGAAAUCAACAUACAUUUUAUAUAUGUUUAUAUGUGUAUAUGAAAAGUAUAUAUGUAAAGGUUCAAAAAUAUAUAUGUGUACAAUGAAUUAUCUUAAUGCUAUCAAUUCUCAUGUACCCUGGAAAGAUUUUUGUAUACAUUGAGAAAUACAUGUACAGCUGAUUUUAAGAGUCCUACUGGACAUAAAUUCAGUCAGAUCUGAACUACAAAAGG
rnacentral:lncRNA from 1 species